rnacentral:rRNA from 1 species
AUUGAACGCUGGCGGCAGGCCUAACACAUACAAGUCGAGCGAGCGGCGGACGGGUGAGUAAUGUAUGGGGACUGCCCGAUAGAGGGGGAUAACUACUGGAAACGGUAGCUAAUACCACAUACUAUCGGAUAACCCAUAUGGGAUUAGCUAGUAGGUGAGGUAAUGUCUCACCUAGGCGACGAUCCCUAGCUGGUCUGUGAGGAUGAUCAGCCAAACUGGUAAUGAGAGACGGCCCAGACUCCUACGGAGGCAGCAGUGGGGAAUAUUGCACAAUGGGCGCAAGCCGGAUGCAGCCAUGCCGCGUGUAUGAAGAAGGCCCUAGGGUUGUAAAGUACGUUCAGUCGGGAGGCGUUACCGACAGAAGAAGCACCGGCUAACUCCGUGCCAGCAGCCGCGGUAAUUC